rnacentral:rRNA from 1 species
GAUGAACGCUGGCGGCGUGCCUAAUACAUGCAAGUCGAGCGAACAGACGAGGAGCUUGUUCCGUGCUCGUUUGGGGCGCGGGGGAGUAAAACGCGAGUAAACCUACCUUGAAAUUGGGGGAAAUUUAGGGAAAUCGGGCUAAAACCCGGUAGAAUCUAUUGAACCGCGGGGUGGAUUGGUAAAUUUCGGUUUUUCUGUAUGUACUCGCGGCUUCUCCGCCGCUUGAGCUGGUUGUUAAGUAACAGGCUUACCAAGGCAAGCAGGCGUGGCCGACUUGAGAGGGUGAUAGGCCACACUGGAACGGAGACACGGUCCAGACUCCUACGGGAGGCAGCAGUAGGGAAUCUUCCGCAAUGGGCGAAAGCCUGACGGAGCAACGCCGCGUGAGUGAUGAAGGUCUUCGGAGCGUAAAACUCUGUUAUUAGGGAAGAACAAAUGUGUAAGUAACUAUGCACGUCUUGACGGUACCUAAUCAGAAAGCCACGGCUAACUACGUG